ensembl:misc_RNA Metazoa_SRP Metazoan signal recognition particle RNA
GCCGGGUGCGGUGGCUCACGCCUGUAAUCCCAGCACUUUGGGAGGCUGAGGUGGGUGGAUCACCUGAGGUCAGGAGUUCAAGACCAGCCUGACCAACAUGGAGAAACCCCAUCUCUA